rnacentral:rRNA from 1 species
AUUGAACGCUGGCGGCAUGCUUUACACAUGCAAGUCGAACGGCAGCACGGGCUUCGGCCUGGUGGCGAGUGGCGAACGGGUGAGUAAUAUAUCGGAACGUACCCAGAAGUGGGGGAUAACGUAGCGAAAGUUACGCUAAUACCGCAUACGAUCUAUGGAUGAAAGCAGGGGACCGCAAGGCCUUGUGCUCCUGGAGCGGCCGAUAUCUGAUUAGCUAGUUGGUGAGGUAAAGGCUCACCAAGGCGACGAUCAGUAGCUGGUCUGAGAGGACGACCAGCCACACUGGAACUGAGACACGGUCCAGACUCCUACGGGAGGCAGCAGUGGGGAAUUGUGGACAAUGGGCGCAAGCCUGAUCCAGCAAUGCCGCGUGAGUGAAGAAGGCCUUCGGGUUGUAAAGCUCUUUUGUCAGGGAAGAAACGGUAGAGGCUAAUAUCCUUUGCUAAUGACGGUACCUGAAGAAUAAGCACCGGCUAACUACGUG